UACGUAGGGGGCAAGCGUUAUCCGGAUUUACUGGGUGUAAAGGGAGCGUAGACGGCAGUGCAAGUCUGGAGUGAAAGGCGGGGGCUCAACCCCCGGACUGCUCUGGAAACUGUACGGCUGGAGUGCAGGAGAGGUAAGUGGAAUUCCUAGUGUAGCGGUGAAAUGCGUAGAUAUUAGGAGGAACACCAGUGGCGAAGGCAGCUUACCAAGCUACUUCUGACGUUGAGGCACGAAAGCGUGGGGAGCAAACAGG
rnacentral:rRNA from 1 species